rnacentral:rRNA from 1 species
AGAGUUUGAUCCUGGCUCAGGACGAACGCUGGCGGCGUGCUUAACACAUGCAAGUCGAACGGUGACGACGGGGCUUGCCCUGUCUGAUCAGUGGCGAACGGGUGAGUAACACGUGAGUAACCUGCCCUUGACUCUGGGAUAACCGCGGGAAACGGCGGCUAAUACCGGAUAUGAGACGUACAGGCAUCUGUUGCGUCUGGAAAGAUUUAUCGGUCAAGGAUGGGCUCGCGGCCUAUCAGCUUGUUGGUGGGGUGAUGGCCUACCAAGGCGACGACGGGUAGCCGGCCUGAGAGGGCGACCGGCCACACUGGGACUGAGACACGGCCCAGACUCCUACGGGAGGCAGCAGUGGGGAAUAUUGCACAAUGGGCGCAAGCCUGAUGCAGCGACGCCGCGUGAGGGAUGAAGGCCUUCGGGUUGUAAACCUCUUUCAGCAGGGAAGAAGCGCAAGUGACG